GAGGUGGAGGGCUGUGGCAACAAAGGAGUGCUUGUGGUAACAUAGGAGCAGCUGGCCAAGCCCAGAUAUGUUAAACAGCUGUAGCCCUUUGAGCUAAGGGGAUGGAAGUGACUUCCACCUUAGAUGUCUCUGGGAGGCAACUCCCCCUGGUUACAAAGCCUGCAUGACAGCUUGGAGAAGAUUGGCUCCAUGCCAUGGGACCACACUUGCCCAGACUUACUAUGGCAGCCAGGUCAUCUUUGCCUACUUCAUGGGAAGACUCUGCCUGAGAAUGAAGCCAAUACAGCAGAGAAAAGCUGACAGAAAUUCCUGAUAAAAUCUUUUACAUUCCCUGAUCCAGCCCUGCCCUACUAGCAAUGUAAUAUGGCACUGACAUUGGGACUUAAAAUGGUUUGAUUUAGGUUUUUAUCUGUGGGUUAUGAAAAUCCUUAUCAAUAUAAUGAUACAAAUGCAGGUAAUUGUGUGGACUGCUACAUUUCACAAUCAUGCUGUGUGAAAACCCCAGGACUGCGAACUCUUUCAUUCUCUCACUCCUAUGACCCUGGCUCUUUCACCUCUAGUCCAUUCCCUCUUUUCUCCAGUACAAGUAAGCUCAUCUCAGUCACUUGAUUUCCAACCAUUUGCUCCCUCCUGGACUUGACUUCUUUCAUACCUGACCUUUGAACCCACAAGCCCAGGUCAAGCCUACCUCUGCCUUCUACACUGGCUAAUGAAGGCUGCUAUAUAUGUUAGCAGAUAAUUAUUCAGUGGUUCCAUGGAACUAUUUCAUGGUUAUGGUUUUCAGCUUCAGCUGAGCACUCAGAGCUGCCCAACUAUUAUUUUAUUAGUUAGGAUAUUAACUUGGCUGCAGCCACAGAGAGAUACAAAGUAAUAGUUAACAAAUAGGAUAGAAGUUACUUUUUCUCACAUAAGGUCCAAGCAGGUAUUCUACCUGGUGAGUGUUGAGAUCUGGGAAAUUGAGAACAUAGCCUGACCACAGCAAAACAGGAAGAAGGAACAGCAUGCAAACAAAGGCUGAGCAGACAUCCUGCAGUAUGUAAGUGUUCCACUCAGAGCAAAACAGGCUGAUUGUAAUCUGCUUAGCUUUGAAUUUUGAAACCCCACCCUGUUCCCAUGCGAGGUCUCUGUCAGCAAACAGCUAACUGCCACGUCUGCUUCUGUUCAACGCUUGCUUGCUCGCCCCUAUAUAAGGACUUAGCUGUAAGUGCUCGGCGCGACUCCCAUCUGCAGCCCUCUGGGCACCGUGUCUCAGGACACUCCGAGAGUUCGCCCCUGCGCAGGUUAAGCUUGGCCAAUAAAAUAAGA